rnacentral:rRNA from 1 species
CGAACGGUAACAGGAAGCAGCUUGCUGCUUCGCUGACGAGUGGCGGACGGGUGAGUAAUGUCUGGGAAGCUGCCUGAUGGAGGGGGAUAACUACUGGAAACGGUAGCUAAUACCGCAUAAUGUCGCAAGACCAAAGAGGGGGACCUUCGGGCCUCUUGCCAUCGGAUGUGCCCAGAUGGGAUUAGCUUGUUGGUGGGGUAACGGCUCACCAAGGCGACGAUCCCUAGCUGGUCUGAGAGGAUGACCAGCUACACUGGAACUGAGACACGGUCCAGACUCCUACGGGAGGCAGCAGUGGGGAAUAUUGCACAAUGGGCGCAAGCCUGAUGCAGCCAUGCCGCGUGUAUGAAGAAGGCCUUCGGGUUGUAAAGUACUUUCAGCGGGGAGGAAGGGAGUAAAGUUAAUACCUUUGCUCAUUGACGUUACCCGCAGAAGAAGCACCGGCUAACUCCGUGCCAGCAGCCGCGGUAAUACGGAGGGUGCAAGCGUUAAUCGGAAUUACUGGGCGUAAAGCGCACGCAGGCGGUUUGUUAAGUCAGAUGUGAAAUCCCCGGGCUCAACCUGGGAACUGCAUCUGAUACUGGCAAGCUUGAGUCUCGUAGAGGGGGGUAGAAUUCCAGGUGUAGCGGUGAAAUGCGUAUAGAUCUGGAGGAAUACCGGUGGCGAAGGCGGCCCCCUGGACGAAGACUGACGCUCAGGUGCGAAAGCGUGGGGAGCAAACAGGAUUAGAUACCCUGGUAGUCCACGCCGUAAACGAUGUCGACUUGGAGGUUGUGCCCUUGAGGCGUGGCUUCCGGAGCUAACGCGUUAAGUCGACCGCCUGGGGAGUACGGCCGCAAGGUUAAAACUCAAAUGAGUUGACGGGGGCCCGCACAAGCGGUGGAGCAUGUGGUUUAAUUCGAUGCAACGCGAAGAACCUUACCUGGUCUUGACAUCCACGGAAGUUUUCAGAGAUGAGAAUGUGCCUUCGGGAACCGUGAGACAGGUGCUGCAUGGCUGUCGUCAGCUCGUGUUGUGAAAUGUUGGGUUAAGUCCCGCAACGAGCGCAACCCUUAUCCUUUGUUGCCAGCGGUCCGGCCGGGAACUCAAAGGAGACUGCCAGUGAUAAACUGGAGGAAGGUGGGGAUGACGUCAAGUCAUCAUGGCCCUUACGACCAGGGCUACACACGUGCUACAAUGGCGCAUACAAAGAGAAGCGACCUCGCGAGAGCAAGCGGACCUCAUAAAGUGCGUCGUAGUCCGGAUUGGAGUCUGCAACUCGACUCCAUGAAGUCGGAAUCGCUAGUAAUCGUGGAUCAGAAUGCCACGGUGAAUACGUUCCCGGGCCUUGUACACACCGCCCGUCACACCAUGGGAGUGGGUUGCAAAAGAAGUAGGUAGCUUAACCUUCGGGAGGGCGCUUACCACUUUGUGAUUCAUGACUGGGGUGAAGUCGGAACAAGGUA